CAGUCGACGGCAGCACGGGAGCAAUCCUGGUGGCGAGUGGCGAACGGGUGAGUAAUAUAUCGGAACGUGCCCAGUCGUGGGGGAUAACGUAGAGAAAUUUACGCUAAUACCGCAUACGAUCUAAGGAUGAAAGCGGGGGACUUCGCAAGAGGCCUCGCGCGAUUGGAGCGGCUGAUAUCAGAUUAGGUUGUUGGUGAGGUAAAAGCUCACCAAGCCGACGAUCUGUAGCUGGUUUGAGAGAACGACCAGCCACACUGGGACUGAGACACGGCCCAGACUCCUACGGGAGGCAGCAGUGGGGAAUUUUGGACAAAGGGCGAAAGCCUGAUCCAGCAAUGCCGCGUGCAGGAAGAAGGCCUUCGGGUUGUAAACUGCUUUUGUACGGAACGAAAAGGUCUGCCUUAAUACGGCGGGCCCAUGACGGUACCGUAAGAAUAAGCACCGGCUAACUACGUGCCAGCAGCCGCGGUAAUACGUAGGGUGCGAGCGUUAAUCGGAAUUACUGGGCGUAAAGCGUGCGCAGGCGGUGAUGUAAGACAGUUGUGAAAUCCCCGGGCUCAACCUGGGAAUUGCAUCUGUGACUGCAUCGCUAGAGUACGGUAGAGGGGGAUGGAAUUCCGCGUGUAGCAGUGAAAUGCGUAGAUAUGCGGAGGAACACCGAUGGCGAAGGCAAUCCCCUGGACCUGUACUGACGCUCAUGCACGAAAGC
rnacentral:rRNA from 1 species